CUCUCCCUCUCUGCGUCCACGCCGCCGCCUCUCCUCCCCUUCUCCCUCUCCGCCUGCCUCCGUCGUCCCUCCCUGCCGCCGCCCGCUCCUGGAAGCUCCGGAUCUGGCGGUGGGGUGUGGCUUGGAGGAAGGGGGGGGGGGUCCAGAUCCGGCAGCGCUGGCCGGACGAUGCCGGUGCUUGGGCGAGCAGGACAGCCCCGCUCUCACCGCGGGCGCCGCCCCUCCCCGCCCCCCUCACCGUGGCGCUCCUCCCCUCCGGGAUCCGGCAAGGGCGAGGCUCGCAGCACCGGCAGCGCCGGCCGGGCUGCCUCGUGGAGCGGCGUCUCCUCCCCUCCGGGGUCCGGCGAGGGCGCGGCUCGCAGCACCGGCGGUGCCGGCCGGGCUGCCUCGUGGAGCGGCGGCUCCUCCCCUCCGGAUCCGGCGAGAGCCGCGGCUGGGCGGGCAGCGGGGGCCGCGGCUGCAGGGCCGGCGUGGCACCCCCACCUUUCCUUCCGGUGCAGGAAGGAUGGACACGCUGCUAUGCUGAAGAAGGAAGAACUGCUCGUGCCAAUCAGCUUAGCCAUAUCCUUGCGUGAAUUAAGGUAGUGCUCCCCUUCCUCCUUCCUUUAGCUUCGUACAUUGCACCAGUAGGUUUGUGAACCUGUCCUUUUUCUCUUGCUCAUCAAUUGUGUAUAGAAUUAAAAUAAGCUACUGUUAGUACAAAAUGUUCCAAGGUUCUCCAUACAUUUAGCAGGGAGAUUUUCUAUUUGGGUUGUUUUGCUAACCUGAACUAUUGUUGUGUCUAUACUGAGAUAAUAGGAGGAUGUAUUAGACUCUGCACCAGUUCUAGAGGUAAGACCAGAGGUAUGUGCAAUUGCCCUUUUUUUUCUUACUGAAUCAUCAAUCAUCUAUAGAAUUAAAACACUCUGCACCAGUUCUAGAGGUAAGACCAGAGGUAUGUGCAAUUGCCUUUUUUUUUCUUACUGAAUCAUCAAUCAUCUAAAGAAUUAAAACACUCUGCACCAGUUCUAGACGUAAGACCAGAUGUAUGUGCAAUUGCCCUUUUUUUCUUACUGAAUCAUCAAUCAUCAAUAGAAAUAAAACAAGGUUUUAACUGUAGUAGAAAAUGUUUUGUGCAGGAGAACACCCCUUGCGUUUUGUGGAGGAGAACACCCGGUGCCCCAAAAUCUCCGGAUAAUUCAGCGAAUCCUCAGAGCGAGAGGUACAGAAUUGAACAACGGCUGAUCGCCACGCCGUGCUCACCUUCGCCGCCACCUGCCGCGUGUUCCUGGCAAUAGCUCACAGAUUGCGAAAUUUUCGAGUUUCGAGUAUGUGGAGUGUAAUGGAAAAGAUGUUGGGCUCAGCGUGCGAAAGAAGUCUGAAACAGUUCUUGCCAUUGUGGGUGGGAGAAACUUACUGAUGCAGUUCCAAGUCAGGGAGAAGGCUGCUGCUACGAGGGAUAAGUACUUCGGUUUGUCAUCAACUGAGGUAACAUACAAGUCAAACACAGCAUCAUUUGGUAGUGCCAGCUACUUCCAUAUGCCUGUCCUGAUUUGCGAGAGCUGGCUUGCCUCUGAUCAAAGGGGGGGGGGGAAUACUAAUAAAGUAGGAUGGAUAUUCAAACAGAGCUUAUUUAGUCUAGAAGGAAUCAGAUGAUCAAACGGGGAACGGUAAAGGAACGGCUAACAGUUGAUUCAGUGUCUAGGAAGAUGGCUGGUUUGUGUCCACUCAUGCUAGAAGAGAUUGAAUAAAACACUUAUCAUGGAGGCUGUUGUGUUGAUGGGCAUACUAUAGAGAUAAUGAUGAGUUUGUGAUCUUAAGUUUGAGUGUUAAAGAAUUUGACCUGGUGACUCGGAAGCUUCACGGGCAGAUCCACCUCCAAAGAUUAAGAACAUUAGCUUCAGUGUUUGGGAUGUGAGUGGUCAGGACAAGGUAUGAAUAAAACCUUUUUGUUUGGGUGAUAUUACUUUUGAUAUGAUACAAUUAUUAUUGCUAAUUUCAUGUAUGUAUUAUAAUAUGAAAUUUAACACUCACUUCAAAUUUUGAUGGAUGAAAAUGUUGCCGAUUACACAUUUAAGGUUAUCAGGUACUAGCAACAUAUUCCGGGUCGAGCUCGAGCUCCAGCACGACCUCAAGCUCAAGCACAGCAACGAGCACCGGCCAGCAAGCCGGAUAUGAGACACCUAUGACGAUAGUGUACCCACAAUCGCACAGUGCUCAAUGCUAGCGUAUUAAUGAUGUAUCUAUUCCUAUAUGCUGUAAUUUUGUGUUGAAUUUAUCCUAUACCAAGUAUGUCAUUUGUAACAUUUCAUUACCUUCAAUUUAUACUUAUUUAAUUGCAUAUUUAUUAUCUUUGA